GGCGGUUUGGCGGAAUUGGUAGACGCGCUCGACUCAAAAUCGAGUAUUUACGUGUGUGGGUUCGAGUCCCACAGCCGCUA
rnacentral:tRNA from 1 species